rnacentral:rRNA from 1 species
AGGAUGAACGCUAGCGGCGUGCCUAACACAUGCAAGUCGAACGUGAAGAGGUACUUGUAUCUCUGAAAGUGGCGGACGGGUGAGUAAGACGUAGGUGACCUGCCUUCGAGUGGGGGAUAACCAUUGGAAACGAUGGCUAAUACCGCAUGAUGUUGUUGGAUUGGGAAAUUUGACAACCAAAGCUUUGGCGCUGGGAGAGGGGCCUACGGCCGAUUAGCUAGUUGGUGGGGUAAGAGCCUACCAAGGCGAUGAUCGGUAGCUGGUCUGAGAGGACGAUCAGCCACACGGGAACUGAGACACGGUCCCGACUCCUACGGGGGGCAGCAGUGAGGAAUAUUCGGCAAUGGGGGCAACCUGACCGAGCAACGCCGCGUGGAGAUGACGGUUUUCGGAUUGUAAACUCCUUUCGUGGGAAGAGCAAGGACGGUACCCCAGGAAUCAGUCACGGCUAACUACGUGCUAGCAGCCGC